AGCAGUCGCCACGGUAAUACGUAGGGUGCAAGCGUUAAUCGGAAUUACUGGGCGUAAAGCGUGCGCAGGCGGUUAUAUAAGACAGAUGUGAAAUCCCCGGGCUCAACCUGGGAACUGCAUUUGUGACUGUAUAGCUAGAGUACGGCAGAGGGGGAUGGAAUUCCGCGUGUAGCAGUGAAAUGCGUAGAUAUGCGGAGGAACACCGAUGGCGAAGGCAAUCCCCUGGGCCUGUACUGACGCUCAUGCACGAAAGCGUGGGGAGCAAACAGGAUUAGAUACCCCGGUAGUCCCUGUCUCUUAUAC
rnacentral:rRNA from 1 species